GGGCCGAUAGCUCAGCUGGGAGAGCGCCGCGUUCGCAAUGCGGAGGUCGGGAGUUCGAUCCUCCUUCGGUCCA
rfam:Gallionellales bacterium RBG_16_57_15 RBG_16_scaffold_26745, whole genome shotgun sequence.